AACGAACGCUGGCGGCGCGCUUAACACAUGCAAGUCGAACGAGAAGGCGUAGCAAUACGCUUGUACAGUGGCGAACGGGUGAGGAAUACAUGGGUAACCUACCCUCGAGUGGGGGAUAACCCGCCGAAAGGCGGGCUAAUACCGCGUACGCUUCCGAUCUUGCGGGAUUGGAAGGAAAGCUGUCCCUUGGGGAUGGCGCUCAAGGAUGGGCUCAUGUCCUAUCAGCUUGNGGUAGGGUAACGGCCUACCAAGGCAUCGACGGGUAGCUGGUCUGAGAGGACGAUCAGCCACACUGGCACUGCGACACGGGCCAGACUCCUACGGGAGGCAGCAGUGAGGAAUAUUGCGCAAUGGGCGAAAGCCUGACGCAGCGACGCCGCGUGGGGGAUGAAGGUCUUCGGAUUGUAAACCCCUUUCGGG
rnacentral:rRNA from 1 species